GGCGACUCUUGUUCCGGUCGCGUCGGCGCCGGUACGUUGUUUCGGCCUUCCCGCUUCUUUCCUUCUCUAGAUGUCCCUCCUCACGACCAGGGAGGAUGGAUCUCGUACUGCUUCCUGAAACCCGCCGAGCUCGGAGAGGAGUGUAGAGCUGGCGGCUCUACCGGAGUAGGAAGGCCUCUAAGGCCGUGGGGCUUGAGACGGCAGUCCAUCCUUGACUACGCCGCCCCGCACGUCUUUUAGUAGGGUUAUUUUUAUUUCGACCCCUUUCGGCGCGUAAGACUUGGCGUGUAGAGCCCCAAGGACGCUCUGCCGACCAACACCAAGGAGUGCCGCCAGGCCCGGGGCCCCCACAAUGCACUUGAAGCGGGUUGCAGCUCCCAGGCACUGGAUGCGGGACAAACUGACGGAUGUGUUUUCUGUUUUUGCAUUUGGUCCCUUCUUUCUCAGAGUCCCAACCUCAGAGGCAGGACAUCGGAGGAGUGGGAGCACAGAGGGAGUAAAGGAGUCAAGCCAUUGUGUGGGCAGCCUCGCCUAAACAAGUGCCAGAGUUGUUUGUUUAUUGGGUUUCCUGGUGUACAUGCCUGCUCCUGCUGCCUAGGCAAACAGCAUCUUUGCAUUAGUAAUCUCCAUUCUGCUUGUUUGCGAUCAGAUGUCAUCAGU
rnacentral:lncRNA from 1 species